rnacentral:rRNA from 1 species
GAAUGCUGACAUAAGUAACGAUAAAGCGGGUGAAAAGCCCGCUCGCCGGAAGACCAAGGGUUCCUGUCCAACGUUAAUCGGGGCAGGGUGAGUCGACCCCUAAGGCGAGGCCGAAAGGCGUAGUCGAUGGGAAACGGGUUAAUAUUCCCGUACUUGGUGUUACUGCGAAGGGGGGACGGAGAAGGCUAUGUUGGCCGGGCGACGGUUGUCCCGGUUUAAGCGUGUAGGUGUGUGUUCCAGGUAAAUCCGGUUCACUUUAACACUGAGGCGUGACGACGAGGCACUACGGUGCUGAAGCAACAAAUGCCCUGCUUCCAGGAAAAGCCUCUAAGCAUCAGGUAACAUCAAAUCGUACCCCAAACCGACACAGGUGGUCAGGUAGAGAAUACCAAGGCGCUUGAGAGAACUCGGGUGAAGGAACUAGGCAAAAUGGUGCCGUAACUUCGGGAGAAGGCACGCUGACACGUAGGUGAAGUGAUUUACUCAUGGAGCUGAAGUCAGUCGAAGAUACCAGCUGGCUGCAACUGUUUAUUAAAAACACAGCACUGUGCAAACACGAAAGUGGACGUAUACGGUGUGACGCCUGCCCGGUGCCGGAAGGUUAAUUGAUGGGGUCAGCGCAAGCGAAGCUCCUGAUCGAAGCCCCGGUAAACGGCGGCCGUAACUAUAACGGUCCUAAGGUAGCGAAAUUCCUUGUCGGGUAAGUUCCGACCUGCACGAAUGGCGUAAUGAUGGCCAGGCUGUCUCCACCCGAGACUCAGUGAAAUUGAACUCGCUGUGAAGAUGCAGUGUACCCGCGGCAAGACGGAAAGACCCCGUGAACCUUUACUAUAGCUUGACACUGAACAUUGAGCCUUGAUGUGUAGGAUAGGUGGGAGGCUUUGAAGUGUGGACGCCAGUCUGCAUGGAGCCGACCUUGAAAUACCACCCUUUAAUGUUUGAUGUUCUAACGUGGACCCGUUACCCGGGUUGCGGACAGUGUCUGGUGGGUAGUUUGACUGGGGCGGUCUCCUCCUAAAGAGUAACGGAGGAGCACGAAGGUUGGCUAAUCCUGGUCGGACAUCAGGAGGUUAGUGCAAUGGCAUAAGCCAGCUUGACUGCGAGCGUGACGGCGCGAGCAGGUGCGAAAGCAGGUCAUAGUGAUCCGGUGGUUCUGAAUGGAAGGGCCAUCGCUCAACGGAUAAAAGGUACUCCGGGGAUAACAGGCUGAUACCGCCCAAGAGUUCAUAUCGACGGCGGUGUUUGGCACCUCGAUGUC